rnacentral:rRNA from 1 species
AGCGUACACGGUGGAUGCCCUGGCAGUCAGAGGCGAUGAAGGACGUGCUAAUCUGCGAAAAGCGUCGGUAAGGUGAUAUGAACCGUUAUAACCGGCGAUGUCCGAAUGGGGAAACCCAGUGCAAUUCGUUGCACUAUCGUUAACUGAAUACAUAGGUUAACGAGGCGAACCGGGGGAACUGAAACAUCUAAGUACCCCGAGGAAAAGAAAUCAACCGAGAUUCCCCCAGUAGCGGCGAGCGAACGGGGAGCAGCCCAGAGUCUGAAUCAGCUUGUGUGUUAGUGGAACGGUCUGGAAAGUCCGACGGUACAGGGUGAUAGUCCCGUACACCAAAAUGCACAGGYUGUGAACUCGAAGAGUAGGGCGGGACACGUGGUAUCCUGUCUGAAUAUGGGGGGACCAUCCUCCAAGGCUAAAUACUCCUGACUGACCGAUAGUGAACCAGUACCGUGAGGGAAAGGCGAAAAGAACCCCGGCGAGGGGAGUGAAAAAGAACCUGAAACCGUGUACGUACAAGCAGUGGGAGCACCUUUAUGGUGUGACUGCGUACCUUUUGUAUAAUGGGUCAGCGACUUAUAUUCUGUAGCAAGGUUAACCGUAUAGGGGAGCCGCAGGGAAACCGAGUCUUAACUGGGCGUUAAGUUGCAGGGUAUAGACCCGAAACCCGGUGAUCUAGCCAUGGGCAGGUUGAAGGUUGGGUAACACUAACUGGAGGACCGAACCGACUAAUGUUGAAAAAUUAGCGGAUGACUUGUGGCUGGGGGUGAAAGGCCAAUCAAACCGGGAGAUAGCUGGUUCUCCCCGAAAGCUAUUUAGGUAGCGCCUCGUGAAYUCAUCUUCGGGGGUAGAGCACUGUUUCGGCUAGGGGGUCAUCCCGACUUACCAACCCGAUGCAAACUACGAAUACCGAAGAAUGUUAUCACGGGAGACACACGGCGGGUGCUAACGUCCGUCGUGAAGAGGGAAACAACCCAGACCGCCAGCUAAGGUCCCAAAGUCAUGGUUAAGUGGGAAACGAUGUGGGAAGGCACAGACAGCCAGGAUGUUGGCUUAGAAGCAGCCAUCAUUUAAAGAAAGCGUAAUAGCUCACUGGUCGAGUCGGCCUGCGCGGAAGAUGUAACGGGGCUAAACCAUGCACCGAAGCUGCGGCAGCGACACUAUGUGUUGUUGGGUAGGGGAGCGUUCUGUAAGCCUGCGAAGGUGACCUGUGAGGGUUGCUGGAGGUAUCAGAAGUGCGAAUGCUGACAUAAGUAACGAUAAAGCGGGUGAAAAGCCCGCUCGCCGGAAGACCAAGGGUUCCUGUCCAACGUUAAUCGGGGCAGGGUGAGUCGACCCCUAAGGCGAGGCCGAAAGGCGUAGUCGAUGGGAAACAGGUUAAUAUUCCUGUACUUGGUGUUACUGCGAAGGGGGGACGGAGAAGGCUAUGUUAGCCGGGCGACGGUUGUCCCGGUUUAAGCAUGUAGGCUGRUUAUCCAGGCAAAUCCGGAUAAUCAAGGCUGAGGUGUGAUGACGAGGCACUACGGUGCUGAAGUAACAAAUGCCCUGCUUCCAGGAAAAGCCUCUAAGCAUCAGGUAACAUCAAAUCGUACCCCAAACCGACACAGGUGGUCAGGUAGAGAAUACCAAGGCGCUUGAGAGAACUCGGGUGAAGGAACUAGGCAAAAUGGUGCCGUAACUUCGGGAGAAGGCACGCUGGUGUGUAGGUGAAGYCCCUGCGGRUGGAGCUGAGACCAGUCGAAGAUACCAGCUGGCUGCAACUGUUUAUUAAAAACACAGCACUGUGCAAACACGAAAGUGGACGUAUACGGUGUGACGCCUGCCCGGUGCCGGAAGGUUAAUUGAUGGGGUUAUCCGUAAGGAGAAGCUCUUGAUCGAAGCCCCGGUAAACGGCGGCCGUAACUAUAACGGUCCUAAGGUAGCGAAAUUCCUUGUCGGGUAAGUUCCGACCUGCACGAAUGGCGUAAUGAUGGCCAGGCUGUCUCCACCCGAGACUCAGUGAAAUUGAACUCGCUGUGAAGAUGCAGUGUACCCGCGGCAAGACGGAAAGACCCCGUGAACCUUUACUAUAGCUUGACACUGAACAUUGAGCCUUGAUGUGUAGGAUAGGUGGGAGGCUUUGAAGCGUGGACGCCAGUCUGCGUGGAGCCAACCUUGAAAUACCACCCUUUAAUGUUUGAUGUUCUAACGUUGGCCCCURAYCGGGGUUGCGGACAGUGUCUGGUGGGUAGUUUGACUGGGGCGGUCUCCUCCCAAAGCGUAACGGAGGAGCACGAAGGUUAGCUAAUCCUGGUCGGACAUCAGGAGGUUAGUGCAAUGGCAUAAGCUAGCUUGACUGCGAGCGUGACGGCGCGAGCAGGUGCGAAAGCAGGUCAUAGUGAUCCGGUGGUUCUGAAUGGAAGGGCCAUCGCUCAACGGAUAAAAGGUACUCCGGGGAUAACAGGCUGAUACCGCCCAAGAGUUCAUAUCGACGGCGGUGUUUGGCACCUCGAUGUCGGCUCAUCACAUCCUGGGGCUGAAGUAGGUCCCAAGGGUAUGGCUGUUCGCCAUUUAAAGUGGUACGCGAGCUGGGUUUAGAACGUCGUGAGACAGUUCGGUCCCUAUCUGCCGUGGGCGCUGGAGAAUUGAGGGGGGCUGCUCCUAGUACGAGAGGACCGGAGUGGACGCAUCACUGGUGUUCGGGUUGUCAUGCCAAUGGCACUGCCCGGUAGCUAAAUGCGGAAGAGAUAAGUGCUGAAAGCAUCUAAGCACGAAACUUGCCCCGAGAUGAGUUCU